UUUCCGUAGGUGAACCUGCGGAAGGAUCAUUAAAGAGAAUAUGCCCUUCGGGGUAGAUCUCCCACCCUUUGUUUAUAUUACCUUUGUUGCUUUGGCAGGCCCGUCUUCGGACCACCGGCUUCGGCUGGUCAGUGCUUGCCAGAGGACCCAAAACUCUUAUUAUUAAUGUCGUCUGAGUACUAUAUAAUAGUUAAAACUUUCAACAACGGAUCUCUUGGUUCUGACAUCGAUGAAGAACGCAGC
rnacentral:misc_RNA from 1 species